GAGCCUUUAGCUCAGUUGGUUCAGAGUGCUUGCUUGACAUGCAAGAGGUCGGCAGUUCAAAUCUGCCAAGGCUCAC
rnacentral:tRNA from 1 species